ensembl:lncRNA
CAUCAAUCCAGUUCUGCCUUCCCUCAGAAUAAACUCAUUCAAAAAUCAUUCCGCGAAUGGCGCACAGAUUCCCAGGCUUAGGACAGGCACAAGUGGUCCGUGUCUCUAACGCAAUCUUAUCUAAGGGAUCACCCCGUGACCAACUAACUCUUCACCAGGCACAGCCUAUUCAGAGCUGAAACCAGCCCCGAGGCAACCAAACGGAGUUCAUUUGACAAAUCACUGAAACAUGACUGGGGAUGAAUACAUUCUAUAGCGUAAGAAUGACUCAUUCAUUCAUCAUUCCACCUCAGGAAUUCUGACACCUGAUGUGGGCGUGGUCUUCCCCCACAACUGUCGUAAGCCUCCCCACCAGCACCAGGUUGAGACUCUCUGUUUUGUGCUCCGGUGGCCCCUGGGAAGCCUUCUGUAAAAUGUAUCACAGAUGGGUGAUGGCUAAUGCAAGCUUCCUCCUCCACGAAGCUGAGUGCUCCUGAGGGCACAUGAAGGAGCAUUUGCUCACUCCCGCCUCUGCAGCCUCCACCUGUCACUCGGAGAUGCUCAUCCACUGACUCAGCAGACCUCAGUUUCUUUAAAGUGAAGAAUUCAGAUUUGAUCAUCGCUAAAGUCUCAGUUUUAAGACUCUCCAUCAAGAAAAGCCAGAGAUUGUAACCUUUAGUAGUAUUUUGUGUGUGCAUGCACCUGUGUGUGUGAUUAAUUUCCCAAAGCAAUUCCAGGCAUUUGUGUUUAGUUUAAGAGUGAUUACACACACACACAUCAAAAAAAAAAAAAAAACUAUUUGCUUACUAGUUAAAAGAAAUUGAGCUGAAGUCUAUGGGUUUAAAGAUUGGUUGGUCUCACAGUAAGAUGUACACUUUUGGAGAUUCAUCAUUAUGUGCCCAAACACAAUAAUUGCUGAAGAACCAUGCAUUGCAAUUUGGCCCUAAUAACCACUCAGGCAGAUAAAGUGAGCAGUUAGCUACAAGAUAUCAGCACCUGCACUCUCACAUGUGGAGCCAAGUACAGACGACAGGAUGGAUCCCGUGCUGAACCAGCAUCAAAGGCUCAUCAAAGGAAUCAGCCAAAGUCCAUCUGCCCACAAACAUCUUCAUUAAACCACCAUUCACCAUGUCAGAAUUAGAGUUAUUCUUUGGUCCGGU